rnacentral:rRNA from 1 species
CGCUGGCGGCAUGCUUACACAUGCAAGUCGAACGCGUGGUCUCGGGUUCGCCUGGGGCCAUGAGUGGCGCACGGGUGAGUAGCGCGUGGGAACCUGCCCUCUUGUGGGGGAUAACCGAGGGAAACCUCGGCUAAUACCGCAUAAGCCGGGUGUCUUGAGAGAGGCACUCGGGAAAGAUUUAUCGCGAGAGGAGGGGCCCGCGUCGGAUUAGCUUGUUGGUGGGGUAACGGCCUACCAAGGCGAUGAUCCGUAGCUGGUCUGAGAGGAUGAUCAGCCACACUGGGACUGAGACACGGCCCAGACUCCUACGGGAGGCAGCAGUGGGGAAUAUUGGACAAUGGGCGCAAGCCUGAUCCAGCAAUGCCGCGUGAGUGAGGAAGGCCUUAGGGUUGUAAAGCUCUUUCACCCGCGACGAUGAUGACGGUAGCGGGAGAAGAAGCCCCGGCUAACUUCGUGCCAGCAGCCGCGGUAAUACGAAGGGGGCGAGCGUUGUUCGGAUUUACUGGGCGUAAAGGGCGCGCAGGCGGCUCAUUUUGUCAGGCGUGAAAGCCCCGGGCUUAACCUGGGAACUGCGUUUGAUACGGGUGGGCUAGAGUUCGGGAGAGGAGCGUGGAAUU